GUGGGGAAUAUUGGACAAUGGGCGCAAGCCUGAUCCAGCCAUGCCGCGUGAGUGAUGAAGGCCCUAGGGUUGUAAAGCUCUUUCGCCAGGGACGAUAAUGACGGUACCUGGAUAAGAAGCCCCGGCUAACUUCGUGCCAGCAGCCGCGGUAAUACGAAGGGGGCUAGCGUUGUUCGGAAUCACUGGGCGUAAAGCGCACGUAGGCGGAUCUUUAAGUCAGGGGUGAAAUCCCGAGGCUCAACCUCGGAACUGCCUUUGAUACUGGAGGUCUCGAGUCCGGGAGAGGUGAGUGGAACUGCGAGUGUAGAGGUGAAAUUCGUAGAUAUUCGCAAGAACACCAGUGGCGAAGGCGGCUCACUGGCCCGGUACUGACGCUGAGGUGCGAAAGCGUGGGGAGCAAACAGGAUUAGAAACCCGAGUAGUCC
rnacentral:rRNA from 1 species